AGAGUUUGAUCCUGGCUCAGGAUGAACGCUGGCGGCGUGCUUAACACAUGCAAGUCGAACGAAGCACUUUACCACGAUUCCUUCGGGAUGACGGUUUUGUGACUGAGUGGCGGACGGGUGAGUAACGCGUAGGUAACCUGCCUGGUAGCGGGGGAUAACUAUUGGAAACGAUAGCUAAUACCGCAUAACAGUAGAUAUUGCAUGAUAUCUGCUUGAAAGGGGCAAUUGCUCCACUACCAGAUGGACCUGCGUUGUAUUAGCUAGUUGGUGAGGUAACGGCUCACCAAGGCGACGAUACAUAGCCGACCUGAGAGGGUGAUCGGCCACACUGGGACUGAGACACGGCCCAGACUCCUACGGGAGGCAGCAGUAGGGAAUCUUCGGCAAUGGACGGAAGUCUGACCGAGCAACGCCGCGUGAGUGAAGAAGGUUUUCGGAUCGUAAAGCUCUGUUGUAAGAGAAGAACGAGUGUGAGAGUGGAAAGUUCACACUGUGACGGUAUCUUACCAGAAAGGGACGGCUAACUACGUGCCAGCAGCCGCGGUAAUACGUAGGUCCCGAGCGUUAUCCGGAUUUAUUGGGCGUAAAGCGAGCGCAGGCGGUUAGAUAAGUCUGAAGUUAAAGGCUGUGGCUUAACCAUAGUACGCUUUGGAAACUGUUUAACUUGAGUGCAAGAGGGGAGAGUGGAAUUCCAUGUGUAGCGGUGAAGUGCGUAGAUAUAUGGAGGAACACCGGUGGCGAAAGCGGCUCUCUGGCUUGUAACUGACGCUGAGGCUCGAAAGUGUGGGUAUCAAACAGGAUUAGAUACCCUGGUAGUCCACGCCGUAAACCGAUAAAUACUAGGGGU
rnacentral:rRNA from 1 species